GCUAGUAGUACAUUUAUGAUCUGAAGCUGUGUUGUGAUAUUUGGCUAUUACUCCACCUCACUAGAUGUGAAGAUUAGAGCAGUGAAAAGCUCCUAAAAAAAUGAUUUUUUGAAAUAAUUCUGUUCUAGAUGCUGGUGUGGAUAUCAAAUAGCUUUAAAACACUAACACAGUCCCGGUGUGGUGGUUCACGCCUAUUAUCCCAGCACUUUGGGAGGAUGACUUCUCUGGAGAAAUGUCUAGUCAGUUACUUAGCCCAUUUUAAAAUCAGGUUAUUAGUUUUAUUGUUAUUGACUUGGAGGAGUUCCUUAUGUAUUUUAGAAACUAAUCUCUUAUCAGAUACAUGGUUUGCAAAUAUUUCCCCCCAUUCUAUAGGUCAGCUUUUCACUUUGUUGAUUAUUUUCUUUGCUGGAUGUGCAAAAGGCUUUUUAGUUUUAUGUAGCCCCACUUUAUUUAUUUUUUGAGAGAUAGUUCAGGUAGUCUCUUAUGAUACUUUGUAUUUCUGUGGCACCAUUUUUUUUUUUUUUUAGAUGGAGUCUUGUUCUGUUGCCCAGGCUGGAGUGCAGUGGCAUGAUCUCGGCUCACUGCAACCUCCACCUCCAGGGUUCAAGUGAUUCUCCCACCUCAGCCUCCCAAGUAGCUGGGAUUACAGGCAUGCGCUACCACACGCAGCUAAAUUUUGUAUUUUUAGUGGAGACAAGUUUUUGCCAUGUUGGCCAGACUGGUCUCAAACUUUUGACCUCAGGUGAUCCGUCCACCUCGGCCUCCCAAAGUGCUGGGAUUACAGACAUAAGCCACCGUGCCUGUAUAUUGUUUUCUGUUACUUGCAGUUCCUUUGUCUUCUCCUCUCUUGUUAUCUUCCUCUGUGUUUGUUGAUUUUUUU
rnacentral:lncRNA from 1 species